rnacentral:lncRNA from 1 species
UCUAGUUGCCUGAAUUGCUAACGAUUGGGCCUCUGAUUUGCCUGUGUCAAAUGUCUCCAGCUCCUGAACUCACGGUCAUUGCAUAUUCUAAAUUGUUGGCUUCACUGAAAUUGGACAGAUGCUGAAAUAGAAACAUCUGUGUAACUGAAUGGGUUGCUUGGUAGUAGAGACAGUAAACUGCUUGAUCAAUGAAGUUGGUGGAAGAUAGAAACGCUGGGGAUAGAGGCGUCUGAGUGGGUGGGUGUCGGUGAUAGAAAUCUGUAGAAUGUGUUGAAGAAGGCGGCAAAUUGGAUUAUGUAUAUGGUUGACUGUGCUGAUUUGAAGUGGAUGUCUGGGUACAAUAGAUAAUGAAGUGGUAGCGUGAUGGUGAUUAGAGGCGAUGGCAGCAAGAGAGUGGUUGUGAGAGAGGAAUCGGAUGGAACUGUGGGAUAUUUGAUGUUAAUGGAUUGGUUAUAAUCGGGUUUGGUCGGAUAUUUGGGACUGGGUCAGAUGGGAAGGGGUUUGGAUCCUGUUAUAGAGAUGGGCCAGCUGGGGUUCGUGUUUGGAGAGUGGGCCUGGGUCGUGAAGAGUAGGCUGGGUUAGUUGGGCUAAAUGGGCUUGAAUGCUAGGGUUUGAGAUUUGUAGAACAACACCACAAUUUUUUUAUGAGCAGCAGAAAAAA